rnacentral:snRNA from 1 species
AUACUUACCUGGUAGGGGAGACACCAUGGUCAGGCAGGUGGUUUUCCCAGGGCGAGGCUCAUACUCUGCACUAUUUUUUUUGUUUUUAAGGUCAUGGAGCAGAUCCUCCUGGAAGAUAUUUUCAAAACACACAGAAGAUAGUGAGGUAAUUUUAGAAACCCAG